rnacentral:rRNA from 1 species
UACGUAGGGGGCAAGCGUUGUCCGGAUUUAUUGGGCGUAAAGCGCUCGCAGGUGGUCCGUCGCGUCGUGCGUGAAAGACCCCGGCUCAACUGGGGGGGGUCGUGCGAUACGGGCGGACUGGAGGCCAGUAGGGGGAUGCGGAAUUCCGGGUGUAGUGGUGGAAUGCGUAGAGAUCCGGAGGAACACCAGCGGCGAAGGCGGCAUCCUGGACUGGUCCUGACACUCAGGAGCGAAAGCGUGGGGAGCGAGCCGG